ensembl:snRNA U1 U1 spliceosomal RNA
AAAAUUACCUGGUAGGGGAGAUACCAUGAUCAUGAAGGUGGUUUUUCCAGGUUGAGGGUCAUCCAUUGCACUGUGGAUGUGCUGGCCCCUGUGAUUUCUCCAAAUGUGGGAAACUGGACUGCAAAAUUUGUGGUAGAGGGGGGCUGCAUUUGUGCUUUCCCCUG